AUAAGAUCAGACAGCAAGAGAGUUAACAAGAGUCACACUCGCCGCGCAAGAUGAAACUUGUUUUGCUGUUUAUUACCGUGCUGAUGGCCGUAGUGGCUGUCACGUGCAGCCCUCUUCCUAGCUAUGAAACCAGCAGUUACGGCUACAGUCAACCCCGGUACAACUAUGGAGUCGUUACGGCCUAUAUUCCCACCAUCAGGCGUGUAUCCUACAUUCAAGGACCGCGUUUCUUUGGGCCAGAUUUCCAAGGGCGCAGUUUCGGAAGAUACGGCUACGGAAAUGGACAUUCUUACUACUAACAGAAUGCUGCAACAGUGAAGUGGCAAGAAACUGCACGGUGAUAAAAUAAACACAAGUUAUAUUUAAUAACCAUCUUAGCAGCUGCUGGUGCUGAAAUAUUUGACUCCUUUUACUAUUGUUCAUUUCCCUUUCUCUCACCUCACUCAAAUAAAAUGUCACGGUUA